rnacentral:lncRNA from 1 species
CGUGCCCAAAGAUCAAGGCCUUCUGGGAAAUGAUAUAUAAUGAAUUAAAAAAGGUAUUGAAAUACACUUUUGUGAAGAAACCAGAGGCUUUCCUCUUGGGCAUGGUCGGCCAAUUGGUGAGAAGGGAAGACAGGAAUUUUAUGUAUGCGACAGCAGCGGCAAGAAUACUCAUUGGGAAAUACUGGAAGACACAAGAAUUGCCUACCCAAGAAGAAUGGCAGAGGAAAGUGAUGGACAAUAUGGAACUGGCUGAGAUGACCGGCAGAAUUUGAGAUCAGGAAGAAGGGUUGAUGGAAGAACACUGGAAAAAAUUUAAAAUAUAUCUUCAGAAACACUGCAAUAUAAAAGAAUGUUAGAAAAAGGUUGGAGAAGAAUAUUAGACCGUAUUGGCAGACAGGGUAUAAUGGAAUAAGUAAAUAUGAAGUGUAAAAUGAGGAUAGAGGAGAAUUAAAUACUUUCGAAUGUUAAAAUAAGUAAAAGAAAAGAAGGUUAGAAGGAUUUGCUGGAGAUACGAUUUAAACUAGAAUACAAAGCAGGGAGGUGAGAGGAAGUCAUGGAAAUAAGUAAAUGG